CGAAUCAUCCGUCUUAGGAACAUUUGGAAAAUGCAAUCUCCCCGUCGACCGCCGGUAACGGUCCCGUCUUGAGCGUCCGCAGUCAAGGGAAACGCAGGCCAGCCAUUGAGCUCCGACAUCGACCUAGUUUCGCGUGCCGAUCCUGUCUGGACAGCGAGAAGGCGAAAUCGGCCGGUUCGCAAGUAGGCGAGAACCGGUCGGACGCGGCGGAGUCAGAGCCCC
rnacentral:ncRNA from 1 species